rnacentral:rRNA from 1 species
UACGUAGGGUGCGAGCGUUGUCCGGAAUUAUUGGGCGUAAAGGGCUCGUAGGCGGUCUGUCGCGUCGGGAGUGAAAACUCAGGGCUUAACCCUGAGCCUGCUUCCGAUACGGGCAGACUGGAGGUAUGCAGGGGAGAACGGAAUUCCUGGUGUAGCGGUGGAAUGCGCAGAUAUCAGGAGGAACACCGGUGGCGAAGGCGGUUCUCUGGGCAUUACCUGACGCUGAGGAGCGAAAGUGUGGGGAGCGAACAGG